UAUACCCAGAUCUAAGGAAUAGCCACUGGAAACGGUGAGUAAUACCUUAUACGCCCUUCGGGGAAAGAUUUAUCGGAUUUGGAUUAGCCCGCGUUAGAUUAGAUAGUUGGUGGGGUAAUGGCCUACCAAGUCUACGAUCUAUAGCUGGUUUUAGAGGAUGAUCAGCAACACUGGGACUGAGACACGGCCCAGACUCCUACGGGAGGCAGCAGUGGGGAAUCUUGGACAAUGGGCGCAAGUGAUCCAGCCAUGCCGCGUGAGUGAUGAAGGCCUUAGGGUCGUAAAGCUCUUUCGCCAGGGAUGAUAAUGACAGUACCUGGUAAAGAAACCCCGGCUAACUCCGUGCCAGCAGCCGCGGUAAUACGGAGGGGGUUAGCGUUGUUCGGAAUUACUGGGCGUAAAGCGCGCGUAGGGGAUUGGAAAGUUGGGGGUGAAAUCCCGGGGCUCAACCCCGAACUGCCUCCAAAACUAUCAGUCUAGAGUUCGAGAGAGGUGAGUGGAAUUCCAAGUGUAGAGGUGAAAUUCGUAGAUAUUUGGAGGAACACCAGUGGCGAAGGGGCUCACUGGCUCGAUACUGACGCUGAGGUGCGAAAGUGUGGGGAGCAAACAGGAUUAGAUACCCUGGUAGUCCACACCGUAAACGAUGAAUGCCAGACGUCGGGGGGCUUGCCUUCGGUGUCACACCUAACGGAUUAAGCAUUCCGCCUGGGGAGUACGGUCGCAAGAUUAAAACUCAAAGGAAUUGACGGGG
rnacentral:rRNA from 1 species